rnacentral:rRNA from 1 species
GAUGAACGCUAGCUACAGGCUUAACACAUGCAAGUCGAGGGGAAACGACAUCGAAGGCUUGCUUUUGAUGGGCGUCGACCGGCGCACGGGUGAGUAACGCGUAUCCAACCUGCCCAUCACUUGGGGAUAACCUUGCGAAAGUAAGACUAAUACCCAAUGAUAUCUCUAGAAGACAUCUGAAAGAGAUUAAAGAUUUAUCGGUGAUGGAUGGGGAUGCGUCUGAUUAGCUUGUUGGCGGGGUAACGGCCCACCAAGGCAACGAUCAGUAGGGGUUCUGAGAGGAAGGUCCCCCACAUUGGAACUGAGACACGGUCCAAACUCCUACGGGAGGCAGCAGUGAGGAAUAUGGGUCAAUGGGCGAGAGCCUGAACCAGCCAAGUAGCGUGCAGGAAGACGGCCCUAUGGGUGGUAAACUGCUUUUAUAAGGGAAUAAAGUGAGAGUCGUGACUCUUUUUGUAUGUACCUUAUGAAUAAGGACCGGCUAAUUCCGUG